CCGUCACACCAUGGGAGUGGGUUGCAAAAGAAGUAGGUAGCUUAACCUUCGGGAGGGCGCUUACCACUUUGUGAUUCAUGACUGGGGUGAAGUCGUAACAAGGUAACCGUAGGGGAACCUGCGGUUGGAUCACCUCCUUACCUUAAAGAA
rnacentral:rRNA from 1 species